GUCAGGAUGGCCGAGCGGUCCAAGGCGCCCGCGCGUUCAGGUCGCAGUCUCCACUGGAGGCGUGGCUCGAAUCCCACUUCUGACA
rnacentral:tRNA from 1 species